UACAAAAUAAAAGCAGGCACAUUAUGUUAAAUAGGAAAAGGGUGAUUUUACACACCAAAAAAAAAAGGUCCACGACACAUAUUUAGAUGAUAUAUAUGUAUUUAUUCUAUUAAGAAUGUUGCCAAGCUUGAAUGAUGCUUUAUACAAGUAAAAAUAUAUCGCUUCCGCCGUAAAUACUUUUAUUUUGAAAAGGACCAGUACAGCUUCCUACUAUAAAAUGCCUCGUAUACUAUCUACUGAAAUGCCGUGCACUGUCAUUUGUGAGAUGCUCUUCUACACACAAGUGAGAUUCUGUGCAGUCUCAUUACUGAGAGCCUCUUAUACACACAAGUGAAUAACCUCUCACACAUAAGACUGAAAAAUAUCUCACAUUCCUUGGUCAAACGUUCGUAUAAAUGCAUGUGAAAACAUCUGUACAGAUACGUAUGACUUAAAAAGCUAUCAGACAUAAGUCUCGGUAAUUAUAAGUAUCCACAUUGAUGCAUGCCAUUGAAUUAUAAUAAAUUGAAUGGUUGAAUAAUCAAGAAAGCAAGAUAUUUUCAUUAGCACAUAUAUUUUAAGCUUGAUAAAGAUAGAUCUAAAUAAAGUUUAAGAUUUUUUUAGCAUUAUUGAAUAAAUUAUAUUGUGUGUUUUAAACGUGGCAUUAAAAAACAACAACAAUAAUAUUACAUUUUAUUUUUAAGUGUCUUUCAGGACACUCAAGAUUGCCGUACAAGGUAAAAGGUAAAAAAUAAGUUAAAAUACACACAUACAGAUAAAACCCACAACAAUGUUAAAUUAAAAAGAAUAAUAGAAUUAUGAGGAAGAAAGCCUGUCUGAAUAAAUAUGUUUCAAGAUGUUACUUGGCUGAGAUUGUAAGGAAGUCCAAAGUAUUGUGCGGCCUCAUCAACAUCAAAUUAUAAUCGAUAUAAGGGUCAGCAGGGAUGAAAUCGAACUACAUAUUCACAGCCAUUCAGUACUAGCCUACAUUCUAUAAUGAAGUGGAACACUGAUAAAGGUAUUGUUUAUGGUUUUUAUUUAAAACUGUAUUUUUGAUGACUGCUGUUAGUUAAAACGUCCACUAGAUGGCAUUAUAUGAUCUUGCAUUGCACUAAAACCAGGUAUAUGAGCGUUGCAUUUUGGGAAAUGAAGAUGCUAUGAACGCUAAUGGAGAAAACGCUAACGCUCGCGCGACCUCUUUCAAACCAAAGAAAAACUGACGAGUUCCAGACUGCUCUAAUCAGCGAAUUACAUCUGAGUUCUGUGUGAUACAAGUGUCUGACAGAAUUGAUGUCAAGGAGGAUUCGGCCUGAUUCAAUGAGGGAUUGAGGACCAAUUUUUUUCAACUUCAGCCAACUGUUGGAGCAUCAACCAAAGCAGAUAAGGUCACCUUCACUACAAAAUUCUUCACACAAUAUACAGUCACACUAUCCCGAUAGUACACACAUACACUGAAUAGUACAACAGACAUUGAGGCACAGCAGCAAAAGACUUUGAAGGGACUGUUCAAAUUCAAUAUUUUUUAUUUAGAUAGUUUGUGUAUAUUUUGGGGAUUAUAUGAUUUUGUGAGUUCUGUAGUACUUUGAAUAAAUGUUGUUGUUGUAUUUUCUUACUAGCUGCCCUUGCUCCUUGAGUUGAACCUGUGUAUAUUACUAUUCCAUACUUAGUAACAUCAAAACAAAAUUCUUGUUCACAUAAGCAAAAGAAAUUACUAGUGGGAUGAGCAAAUUAUUGCUUGGAUAAAAUAUUCUAUCACAUGCAUUAAUAACGAUAGCAAUUUAUCUGAAAACUACCAGACUUGCUUUUUUUUUUUUUAUUACAUUGUAACAAAGCUAUCUGUGACAAGUCUCUGUCUUUGGUUUUAAAAAAUUAAACGUUAAAAAUAUCCUUUCCAACCCUUAAAAAAAAAAAAAAAAAAAAAAAUCAUGUUAUGUCUUUACAAGUUUUUGUUUUUUUCACCAACAUAUCAAUACCUCUGGGGUUCUAAGUGGCCUUACCUUUUUGAAAAUGUUUCUGAAUAUUCAUAGGAAAUGUAUUAUCUUUUAAAAAGUGUGCAGCAAUGUAUAACACCAAAUCUUUCCAAUCAUUUUUUUCCUGGAUAAAACUGUUAAAUGAAUCUAGAAAUAAUAGUGUGUAUUUCUCUAUCAUUUUUUAUACCGAAAUGUAAUUUUUGGAAAAUUCUAUUAUUUUUAGCAUUACUUUCGGAAAAAAAAAAAAGACUUGUGUAGUUGUGUGAGGUUCUCAGUUAUGAGUGUACACGGUAUUUUAGUAGACAGUGUAAAAGGGCUGCAUAUUACGAUUCAUUAUUGGGCCUUUUCCAAAUAAUACGUUAGUGCGACAGAAGGGAUAUAUACAGUGGGGAGAACAAGUAUUUGAUACACUGCCAAUGGGUUUUCCCAUUGGCAGUGUAUUUACUUGUAUGAAGGAUCAGUCAAGUUUGGCAAUAUUCUUAAAAGUAUAAAUACAUAUAUAAUAUAAAUAUGGGUCAUGGACCUGUUUAUUUUUGUAUAAUCACCUUUUUUCCUCUUUAACCUAAUUUGCCUGCUUUUAUUUUCUAAGGUCGUGGAGGAAAAGACGUUAGUUUGACCAAUAAGCUACAUUGUAGCUUAUGACACAAUUGAAGUGGGCGUCAACUGUUCCUCCGGCUUUUGGCACAUUUAAAUGGAGGCCAGUAUCCGGACGAGUCCAGGUUACCUGCUGAUAUCGACAAAGAGAAGCACAGGAUAAAUUGCCACUCAGUGACGGUAUGAAUGUGGGUGCCAAUGGUCGUCUGUCUCUUUGUGUACCCUGUGAUUAAUCAUUUCAGCGUGCUGCCCGUCUUCCAUUGCAAGUAUUGGUGGCAGAGUUUUCGCACGCUGCGCGGGAACCCCGAGACUGAUGCCCGGGCACGCCGAUGCAUCUUGGGGUAGCCUUUGCAGCUAGCCUCGCAUCGGGGCAACAGUUCCGCUACGACAACGCGAGCAGACCAGGAUAUACGGUGUUGGAAAUGUCCCACACUACAACAAAUCAUUAUUUUAUCCACACUGGUUUGAGUGCAAUAUUGUUGUGGUUGGUUCGUUGUUUAAAAUGUGUAAAAGAAAUAAUGUUUGUUUUGCAUGUGGGAUGAGAAUUCAGUAAAACGGCAUGUGAGGGACUAACUUGUCCCCCCCCUCCACAGUACUUAAGUUACUGAAUAUGUAUAUAAAAAUGGAUCUUAAGCUACUAUACCGAGUGUGGUUUGAUUGUCAAUAUCAGUUUGCAUAUGACUGAUGAAAAAGGUAAAAUUUCAGAUUUGAAGAAGUCCAUUGGAACUGUUUUGAAAUAAAAAAAACCAUCCCACCUUGUUUCCAAUUGCCAAAUAUAUAUGCCUUGUAGACUGAAGUGCAAAUUGUGUUUAUUCACAGAUGCAAGACAGUGUUAAAGUAUAAGAAUAAAAUGUCGCAGUAAGGUUUAUUGACCACAUAUUAUAUGUACAUAAUAUAAUUAUAUAUAAGGAAUGUUUGUAUAUAUAAUUUAUGUUUGUACAUAUGAUGUAUGUGUGUAUGUGCAGGGUGAUUCAAAAACAAUGUGCCAAAAUCACACAUUUAUUCCUUUCAAAAUCAUUGACAUAGACUGAAAUGAUUAAUUAAAUUGUUAAUUUGAUAAGAAAGUCUCUUUAUCAAGUAAGUUAACAAAUUUAGUCAUAUCAGCUUGAUUGUCCGUGAUGCUGCUGGUGGUCACAUUGAGCACUUGUAAAGCAUGAAAUAAAAACAAAAAUAUACAAUACUUGUGUCAAUGUAGUUAUUGCCCCCCCAAUUUACCGCAAUGGUUUUGGCCCAUUCUUUUUUUCAUCACCCUGUAUAGUGUAUGUGUGUAUAUAUGUAUGUGUAUAUAUAUACAUUAUUUCUAUAUAUUUAUGCAAAUAUUUUGCGGUACUUCGUGCUGAUUGCAGCUAUGCUCUGGACCCGCGUUCCGUCGACAUUCGCUGGAAGUGAUGGUAAGUUAAUGCAGCGCCAGCCGUACAACAACAGACGCCGAAUCUCAAUGACGCACCCUGAGCCACCCAGGUUUCAUUUUUGCAACGUGUUGACAGUUAGAGCUGUUCCUGAAUGGGAAACAUUUAGGAGCAUAAAAAUACUGCCAGCUUUAACUUCACGGCUGGUAAUGACAGUGUUAGACAUCCGAUCUUCCUUUCCAUCCACUCCCAGUCAAAAUGGAUUCGACAUGUAGUACAAACAUGGCACCCAAAAUAUUGUUUCACAUGUGUGCGUGCGCAAAAAGUAUUCCACAUGUAUGCGCGUAAGUGUCUCACAUGUAUAAGCGCAAAGAUUUCACAUUCAUGCGCGUGAGUGUCUCACAUGUAAGCGU